rnacentral:tRNA from 1 species
GGACGUAUGGUGUAACGGCAGCACAGUUGAUUUUGGUUCAACUAGCGCAGGUUUGAAUCCUGCUGCGUCUACCA